rnacentral:lncRNA from 1 species
CAGGACAUAAAGGCUAGAGGGGACACAUAGAAAUAAGGAACAGGAUAUCAGGGCCAGAGACUACCCUCAAAAUAAAGUACAGGCUAUCAGACACAGAGACUACACUAGAACACAGAGCACAGGAUAUCAGGGCCAGAGAUGGCCUUAGGACACAGAGCACAGGAUAUCAGUGCCGGAGAAUACCCUAGAAUACAGAGCAUAGGAUAUGAGGAUCAGAGACUAACUUAGAACACAGAGCACAGGACAUGAGGGAUAGAGACUACUUUAGAACACAGAGCAUUGGAUAUCAGGACCAGAGACGACCCUAGAACACAGAGCACAGGACAUGAAGGAUAGAGACUACAUUAGAACUCAGAGCACAGGAUAUGAGGGCCAGAGACUGCCUUAGCACACAGAGCACAGGAUAUGAGGGCCAGAGAGUACCCUAGAACACAGAGCACAGGAUAUCAGGGCUGGAGUCUAACUUAGAACACAGAGCAUAGGAUAUCAGGGCCAGAGACUGCCUUAAGGCACAGAGCACAGAAUAUCACAGGAAAAUGAGGGAAAUGGACCCAUAUGUGCAAAAAUGUUUGCAGUGGCUCUUUUCGUGGUAGCAAAGAAUUGGAAAAUGAAUGGACACCCAUCAAUUGGGGAAUGGCUGAACAAGUUGUGGUCCAUGAAAGUAAUGGAUUAUUAUUGUUCUACAAAAAGUGAUGAACAAGCUGAUUUUAGGAAGGCCUGGAAAGAUUUACAUGAACUGAUGCUGAGCAAAACAAGCAGAACCAGGAAUACAUUGUACACAGUGACAGCAAGAUUGUGUCACAAUCUACUAUGAAAAACUUGGUUCUUUUCAGUGGUUUAGUGAUCCAAGGCAAUCCCCAUAGACUUUGGACAGAAAAUGCUGUCUGCAUCCAGAAAAAGAGAUUGAUUGUAAAUCGACACAUGCCAUGUUCACUUCUUUUUAAAAAAUUUUUCCCUCUCCCAUGGUUUUUCCUUUUUGCUCUGAUUUUUCUCUCCCAACAUCAUUCAAAAUGUGUGUUAAAAUAAAACAUAAAUAAAUUUUUUUUUAAAAGAAGGCUACAUGGUGUGACUUGCAUGACACAAAUACACUAGUGCUCAUUCAAAAUAAGCAGAUGAGGUUACUGAUAAUUCACCAGAGGCUUUUAUUGAGAGAAAUCCUGCUGCUCUUAAAACCAUAUGUUACUAUUAAAAACAUUGUUCUGUAGCCAACUCUGGCUCUGUUUUCUAUGAGCUAAUUCUCUGAAGCAUGUUAUUAAUUUCUAAGGAGCUCAAUCUUAUUUAAAGUUGACAAUGUCCUAGUUAUUGUGCCCGGACCUUGUGUUUUCUCAUGAUUUCAAGCUUAAAUGAACUAUUGAUUAAUCUUAGGAGGAGGUGGACAUUCUAGUUACCGAAGUUUCCAGCUUCCUGGAAGUUCCCUACAGCUACAGACCUGCUGUGGCCAAGCUGGAAACUGGCCGUGUAGCCCCGCCUGGCUCCCAGGUGGAGGAGGCACAUUUUCUAUCUUGACUUCCCAGCCUCCAAGGGAGCAUCAAAUGUCAGUGCUAGGAGAGCUUGAAAAGAUUCUCUAGUCAAAGCCCCCCAUCUUUUUGUUCAGAGGAAGAAACAGGUCUGAGAGGGGGGAAGGGAAGUGACAAGUGCCUGAAGUUCCCGGAGUGAGCAAAGCCAUCCAAGUCCCUAACUCAGGCCUUUCCCCCCAAAUUUGUGCUCAGUUAUCUGGUAAUAGUUUAUCUCAUCCUCUGGUGAGCAAAGACUUGGACACAGCAGAGAGAAAAUCAGUGAAGGAGUGAGUGAAUGAAUGAGUGUGUGAGUAAAUGUAAACAAACAAACAAACACAGUGCUAAGUGCUGCAGGUAUAUCAUGGCCAAUCUGACGGCCCCUGCUCUCAUUGUGCUCACAUUCUGAGGGGAAGAAAGGGCUAACAGAGAUUCGUGUUUUCAAUGCCUUAGGUAGGGAUGGGGGGGGGGGCAGGUCCUGAGAAGUUUUGUCUUUUGGGGGGAUGGCCAAGAAGCCAAUCUUGGCUCACAGAGGAAAAACCUGAUUAAGUUUCUGAGCUUCCCAGGAGUGGAAUGAACUGCUUCCAGGACUUCUUGGAGGGGCCCCUGACCACUGGCUCUGUCAGGGAGGACCUUCUAGUCAAGUCCAGGCCGGAUUAGUGGCCGCUGAUGUCUCUCCCAUCCUGCCCUUCUCCCGUGAUUCUAAGGCGGCAGAAGCCUGGCUUCGAGACCCGCAGAAUUCGUGACUGGAUGCACACUUGAGAGGGGUAGAGGUGAAGCUCCACAGCCUUUUCCAUAGUGGCCGGAAACUGGAAACGGGUGGGUGCCCAUCAGUUGGAGAACAGCUGAACAAGUUCUGGUAUAUGAACGUUAGGGAAUAUUAUUCUUCUGUAAGAAAUGAGCAGCAGGAGGGUCUCAGAGAGGCCUGGGGAGACUGACGGGAGCCGAUGAGCAGCAGGAGGGUCUCAGAGAGGCCUGGGGAGACUGACGGGAGCCGAUGAGCAGCAGGAGGGUCUCAGAGAGGCCUGGGGAGACUGUCGGGAGCCGAUGAGCAGCAGGAGGGUCUCAGAGAGGCCUGGGGAGACUGACGGGAGCCGAUGAGCAGCAGGAGGGUCUCAGAGAGGCCUGGGGAGACUGACGGGAGCCGAUGAGCAGCAGGAGGGUCCUCAGAGAGGCCUGGGGAGACUGUCGGGAGCCGAUGAGCAGCAGGAGGGUCUCAGAGAGGCCUGGGGAGACUGACGGGAGCCGAUGAGCAGCAGGAGGGUCUCAGAGAGGCCUGGGGAGACUGACGGGAGCCGAUGAGCAGCAGGAGGGUCUCGGAGAGGCCUGGGGAGACUGACGGGAGCCGAUGAGCAGCAGGAGGGUCUCAGAGAGGCCUGGGGAGACUGACGGGAGCCGAUGCUGAGGGAAACGAGCAGGAGAUCACUGCACACGGCAACAACAAGACUAUACAGUGAUCAGACCCGAUGGACGCGGCUCUUGUCAAUGAUGAGAUACUGAGGCCAGCUGCCCCCAGAAGAGGCCUGUGGGAGCUGAGGGGCGAUCACAACAGCGUUCUCGCGCUUCUUGCUGCUUGCAUUUUGUUUCUCUUUUUUCCCCUUGUGCAGCGCGAUAAUCGUAUAAACAUAGAUACAUACAUUGGGUUUAACAUAUAGGUCUGCCAUGUUCAACAUAUACUGGACUACUUGCCAUCUGGGGGAGGGGGUGGGCAAAGGGGGGGCAACAGGAGCAGGUGCUGGCGAGAACAUUCGAGAAGCCCUUUGCAAACCUUCAGGCCACAGCUAAAUGCGACUUGCUGCUGUCUGGCUGCGGGGGAGGGGGCGUCCCUGCAGCGCAUCCGGCCGCGGGGAGCCCCGGCGUCGGCCGCGGAACUAGGCCGGAGGUGAGCGCUGAGAGCGCGUUUGAGCACGCGUGGAGGCGGAAGGGAGCAUUCUGGGGCCUCGGUUUCCCCAUCUGUAAAAUGGGAGCGGGGAAGGAGCGCGGUCGCAGCAGGCGAACUUCCGAGAUGACGUCCUGCCAGAGUUGGAGAAGCAGAGGCCCGCCCGCAGCCCUUCCCUCCAUCCAGGGCACGAGCCCCCUUCGGAGACUACGUUGCCCAGAAGCCUCUCGCGCGGCCGGGCGGAAGACGCCGCCGGUUGUGGGGGAACCGAGCACGUGCAGAGGGGCGGGGAGGAAAACAGGGCAGCGGCCUCCGAUUGGCGGACCGCACGUGAACGCUCGAGGCGGCGCAUGCUCAGAGCCGCCGUGGGCUUUCUCCUCGUCGCCUCUCCGAGCUACGCCACCGGGGCCUCUGCGGGACGCGGGAGGCGACUACGGGCCCGGAGCCCGGCCCGUGGGAAGCCCGGCGCCGCCGGGGCCCGCGGGAAAUGGAGCCCGCCGAGGGCUCCCGAACGCGGAGGUCCGGAAGAACGCCCGCACGUGCGCAGUGCCGCGGAGGGGCUGGCGUAGCGCGCGCAGCCCCGCCCUCCGAAGUAGCGGCGACUCUUCCAGAAAGGGCAUCCCAGCUGGAGGCUCUCCCUGCAUGCAGCAGGAAGAUGGCAGCUGGGCUUGCAAAAGGCCCAUGGGGCACCCCUGAGCGCAGGCCCAUUUGCUUCUGCCCGGAGUGUGGGGAGGAGGUGAAGCCCACCUUCACCUUCUGUCCCUACUGCGGGGACCCCCUGCCACACAAGGAUGACGCGGGGAGCCGAGGCUCUCCCCAGGCGCUCGGGGCCGCCAGAGAAGCCUCCAGGAAGAGAGAGGCCCAAGGCCAAGGGGUCCAGAGGAAGAGAGUGAAGGGGACCUCACCCUGCACCUCGCCUCCCACCCCCCCCCCAGACCCCAGGGGGUCACUGCCACCCCCAGCCCGCUGGGAAAGGCCAAAGGUGAGAGCCAGCCCAGCUGCAGCCACGCGGGCUGCAGGAGGGAAGGGCCCCGGCCCCCCGGCCCCCCAGCCUCUGCCCUCGCUCUCCCAGGGGAAGGAGCCAGAAGCGGGAAGCGCCCACCCUCCGAGGUCCCCGGGCCGGCCACAAGGGACCCCGCCUCCGUGCCUUCCUCUGGGAGUGACCCUUCUGGCCUGCUGGAUCCCCGGCGGGGCCCCCAUCCCCUCCCCGCCCCACGGAGCCCUGGGGCAUGGGGGGAGGGGGG